CUACUCUCGGCUUGCCGUGGUGCUCGGGAAGCCGGUGGGAAACCGGCGCGGCCCUCGCCACUGUGAGCGGAUAGUUGCUCGCCCUCGUCCGUACCGGUCCGCCGGUGUGGAGGCCACUGGAUCUCAUCCGGGAAGGUCGGCGCAGCAGCGGUGACCCGUCAGCCAGGAGACCGGCCACGGCACGUGAGGUCCA
rfam:Rhodococcus pyridinivorans SB3094, complete genome.